rnacentral:rRNA from 1 species
UGACCUCAAAUCAGGUAGGACUACCCGCUGAACUUAAGCAUAUCAAUAAGCGGAGGAAAAGAAACUAACAAGGAUUCCCCUAGUAACUGCGAGUGAAGCGGGAAAAGCUCAAAUUUAAAAUCUGGCGGUCUUCGGCCGUCCGAGUUGUAGUCUGGAGAAGUGCUUUCCGCGCUGGACCGUGUACAAGUCUCUUGGAACAGAGCGUCGUAAAGGGUGAGAAUCCCGUCUUUGACACGGACUACCAGUGCUUUGAGAUGCGCUCUCAAAGAGUCGAGUUGUUUGGGAAUGCAGCUCAAAAUGGGUGGUGAAUUCCAUCUAAAGCUAAAUAUUGGCGAGAGACCGAUAGCGAACAAGUACCGUGAGGGAA